rnacentral:rRNA from 1 species
CAUUGUCUUCAGAGGGUAUAGAAGAUAAGACCUGCCCCAUGAAAAUUUUAAUGGCCGCAGUAAUUUGACUGUGCAAAGGUAGCAUAAUCAUUAGUUUUUUAAUUGAGGACUGGUAUGAAAGGUAUAACGAGGUAUUUGUUUUCUUAAAUAAAAUAUAAAAUUUUACUUUUUAGUUAAAAGGCUAAAAUAUAAAUAAGGGACGAGAAGACCCUAUAGAGUUUUAUAAAUUAUGUUAUUUUAUUUUAGUAAAAGUAAAGAAUUAAUUAAUUUUAUUUAAUUGGGGAGAUUUUGUAAUAAAACUUAUAAUUAAAUUAACAUUUAUACAUGAAUAAAGGAUCCUAUAGAUGAUUAAAAGACUAAAUUACCUUAGGGAUAACAGCGUUAUUUUCUUGGAGAGUUCUUAUCAAUAAGAAAGUUUGCGACCUCGAUGUUGGAUUAAGAAAAUAAUUAGAUGUAGGUGUCUAAUUAAUAGGUCUGUUCGACCUUUUAAAUCUUACAUGAUCU